CUUGCUUCAGCAGCCUACACUAAAAUUGGAACAAUAAAGAGAAAUUAGCAAGGCCCCUGAGCAAGGAUUGCACACAAACUCGUGAAGCAUUCCAUAUUUUU
ensembl:snRNA U6 U6 spliceosomal RNA